CAUCAAGAUCACAUGCUUUGCUUCAAGUAUCUGACCAUUCCAGUAAGAUCUCUGAAGAAACAGCUCUGUCUAUAUUUGUUUACCUGGAUCGGAGAAGAACCAGAGAACGACGGCGCAGAAGACGACGACGACGGGAAUGAAGUGGAUGAAGAUCUUGGCAAGCUUAAGACGGCGACGUUCUUUUUCGGCCGCGUGAGAGAACGGAUUAUACGUCGGUAGGUAAAGCUCUGAGUCCAAGCCGGAACUCACACUCGAAGAUCUAAAGACUGCGGAUUGCAACGACGACAACGACGACGGCGAAC